rnacentral:rRNA from 1 species
UGGGGAAUAUUGCACAAUGGGCGCAAGCCUGAUGCAGCCAUGCCGCGUGUGUGAAGAGGCCUUCGGGUUGUAAAGCACUUUCAGCGAGGAGGAAGGUGGUGAGCUUAAUACGCUCAUCAAUUGACGUUACUCGCAGAAGAAGCACCGGCUAACUCCGUGCCAGCAGCCGCGGUAAUACGGAGGGUGCAAGCGUUAAUCGGAAUUACUGGGCGUAAAGCGCACGCAGGCGGUUUGUUAAGUCAGAUGUGAAAUCCCCGGGCUCAACCUGGGAACUGCAUUUGAAACUGGCAAGCUAGAGUCUCGUAGAGGGGGGUAGAAUUCCAGGUGUAGCGGUGAAAUGCGUAGAGAUCUGGAGGAAUACCGGUGGCGAAGGCGGCCCCCUGGACGAAGACUGACGCUCAGGUGCGAAAGCGUGGGGCAGCAAACAGGAUUAGAUACCCUGGUAGUCCACGCUGUAAACGAUGUCGAUUUUGGAGGUUGUGCCCUUGAGGCGUGGCUUCCGGAGCUAACGCGUUAAAUCGACCGCCUGGGGAGUACGGCCGCAA